rnacentral:rRNA from 1 species
GAUGAACGCUAGCGGGAGGCCUAACACAUGCAAGCCGAGCGGUAUUGUUUCUUCGGAAAUGAGAGAGCGGCGUACGGGUGCGUAACACGUGUGCAACCUGCCUUUAUCUGGGGGAUAGCCUUUCGAAAGGAAGAUUAAUACUCCAUAAUAUAUUGAACGGCAUCGUUUAAUAUUGAAAGCUCCGGCGGAUAGAGAUGGGCACGCGCAAGAUUAGCUAGUUGGUGAGGUAACGGCUCACCAAGGCGAUGAUCUUUAGGGGGCCUGAGAGGGUGAUCCCCCACACUGGUACUGAGACACGGACCAGACUCCUACGGGAGGCAGCAGUGAGGAAUAUUGGUCAAUGGGUGCAAGCCUGAACCAGCCAUCCCGCGUGAAGGACGACUGCCCUAUGGGUUGUAAACUUCUUUUGUAUAGGGAUAAACCUACCCUCGUGAGGGUAGCUGAAGGUACUAUACGAAUAAGCACCGGCUAACUCCGUGCCAGCCGCCGCCGUAA